rnacentral:rRNA from 1 species
CUGGGAAUAUUGCGCAAUGGACGAAAGUCUGACGCAGCGACGCCGCGUGGAGGAUGAAGGCCUAAGGGUCGUAAACUCCUUUUGCCAAGCCGUUCACAGCUUGGAGAAUAAGCCUCUACUAACUACGUGCCAGAAGUCUCGGUAAUACGUAGGAGGCAAGCAUUAUCCGGAUUUAUUGGGCGUAAAGUGUGCGUAGGCGUCUUGUCGCGUCCUGUCUUAAAGACCAAGGCUUACCCUUGGGACUGGAUAGGAUACGGACAAGAUGGAGGAUUGGCAGGGAUGCCGGAACAGUAUGUGUAGCAGUGAAAUGCGUUGAUAUAUACUGGAACACCGAUGGCGAAGGCAGGCAUCUGGGCUUUCUGACGCUGAGGCACGAAGCUAGGGUAGCGAAACAGAUUAGAUACCUGUGUAGUCCUAGCCGUAAACGAUGUCCGACUAGCUGUGGCUCGCAGAGCGAACAAGCAUAAU